UUUAUACUCUCAUAUUACAAUUUGCAUUUUUACAGAGUGAGGAAGAAAAGGAAGAACAACCUCUGUGAGGUUUGUGGAGGAUGGCAAAAAAUUGUGCAAUGAGUCAAAGCCCGAAGAGUGGAAGAACUCUUACCGUUUCCCUUGCAUUAUCAUGAUUGAAGUGUCAUGCACCCCUAGAAUCAAGAUUGGAAUUAUUUCUAUGUCUGCCCUGCAUGGAUCUACAGUGAUUAUUUAUUAGCCUCAUUUUUGGAUACAUAUUAUUGUAGACAUUAUGUACCUUUUACAUUUUAAAUAAGAGGUUUUGUUUGUAAAGAUAGUGACCAACUUUUGUUUCAAUGCAUCAUAUUGUGUA